GUAGGUGGCAAGCGUUGUCCGGAAUUAUUGGGCGUAAAGCGCGCGCAGGCGGUUCUUUAAGUCUGAUGUGAAAGCCCACGGCUCAACCGUGGAGGGUCAUUGGAAACUGGAGAACUUGAGUACAGAAGAGGAAAGCGGAAUUCCACGUGUAGCGGUGAAAUGCGUAGAGAUGUGGAGGAACACCAGUGGCGAAGGCGGCUUUCUGGUCUGUAACUGACGCUGAGGCGCGAAAGCGUGGGGAGCAAACAGGGAUUAGAUACCCUGGUAGUGCACGCCGUAAACGAUGAGUGCUAAGUGUUAGGGGGGUUUUCCGCCCCCCUUAGUGCUGCAGCUAACGCAUUAAGCACUCCGCCUGGGAGUACGGCCGCAAGGCUG
rnacentral:rRNA from 1 species